rnacentral:lncRNA from 1 species
GGCACCCGGAGCAGCAGGGGCAGGGCGAUCUACCCAAGGGGGCGGGGCAAUUUGCCCAGGGGGGCAUGAUGGCGAUCCACCCAUGGAGUCCACCUGGCAGACACAAGCCCCAUUCUGCCGUUUCGAGCAGUGCAGAGCCCUUAGCCACUGUGUCACUCCCAAGAGACGCGUGGCUUGGGUGUGCUGCAGGCCAGGCCCCAUGGUAAGUGCCACCCCCCACAGUGUACCAUUUUGUCACCCACUAGGGGAUGACACCCGGAACGGGCCACACCCUCGGGCACCCCGCACCCCCCUUCCUACGCCCCUGCCUGUAGUGAAGUGUAGGGUCCAAAUGUAAAUCAUGAUAAGGUUUCUGACAGGCUGAACAUCUACAGGUGAAGCAUUCUCUAUCAUUUUAUUUCCAUACUUGAAAAGGCUUACUUUGUUUAAUUUGUGCCAGACACACACAGCCAUUAAAGAGACAAGGCAUCAUUUGCUGCAGGUGUUGCAUGUAUUUCUUGCUGCUCUUGUGGGAUGAGAGCAAACCUCUUCACCAGGGAACGCAACGGAGAUGCGUCAUUUUCCUCCCUUCUGAUUGCUUAGCAGCAGUGGUAGGCAGAGCAAAGCGAAGUAUUUGAAGCCAGUGGAACUGGCACUGGUUAAAAUUAAGAUAGCAUAAAUCACCCGUAUUGAAACUCUGUUCAGGAGUGGGGUUAUUGCCAGCUGAACUGGCCUAAGCCUGGCAGAGGGAAAACAAUCCUUUAAAAAAGAAGUUUACUUACACCACUCUUUUCUGCCAGUGUAAGUUCCACCAAGUUGCCAGGUCAUGUGACUGAGCCGAAUGGAGUUAUGAUCCAGUGUAAGUCUCCUGAGCCCAGUUUUUCCCUCACCACCCCGCCGUUGGCCCAUUUUCCAGGGUUUGUGCUGAUGUAAGAUCCACCAGUCUUGUCUCAGUUGACUGAACCCUGGUUUCACUGAGACGCAGGUGUUACACUGGUGUUGCAUUGGCUGAACUGGGACAUGGGCUUAUUCAGGUAUAGUUUGGCUGAACCAGGAACUGGUUGGCUGAGUCAGAGAUGUGACAGAUCCAACCUCUUACUGGCAGGGCUUUUUCCCCAGCUGGAACUCACUGGAACUCAGUUCCAGCACCCCUCAGGUGGGCGCCAUUAGCAUUCUAAGAGAAUGAGGGAAGUGUUCAUGUUGAGUUCCAGCAUCUCUUUUUCUAGAAAAACAGCACUGGACAGAUCCUUACUCUCUUGUCUCAACAGAUAUUGUGUUUAGAUUGUCCCUUAAGUCCAUAGCAAUGGCAUUAGCCAUGCCUGCCUAAUAAGCCUUAAAAUGUUGCCUCCACAUUUUGCUUUCUAACUUUCUAAUUGAUAUCUGAUUAAUUUACUUAAAAACAGAAAGUUAAAAAUUGAUCAGUGGUUUAGUGCACUUUACUCAUAAAAGACACCAGUUUGGAAAACAAUUUCCUUUAAUACAAUGAAUCGUUAUAUGAUUACUUUAUAUGCAUUUUUAUGCACACUUUCCCCUAACAUACGGACUUCUGGAUGAGAGAGCUGAACUGCGAAAUCCAAAGUGGGACUUUUGAAGGACAGCUGCAUUAUGAUUCAUGCAUUUUUCAGAAAGUGUGAAUUAGCUGGGUUCGCACUAAAAUGUGAUUGAAUCCCACCCCCCCCAUCCUUAAGGAGGACAUGGAUAAAAAGAGGUAAUCCAGGGUCAUUAACAGAACAUAGUAAAAUUAAAAAUGUAAAGGACACCUGGACGGUUAAGUCCAGUCAAAGGCAACUAUGGGGUUGCAGUGCUCCUCUCACUUCAGGCCGUGGAAGCCGGCAUUUGUGCACAGACUGCUUUCUGGAUCAUGUGGCCAACAUGACUAAACCGCUUCUGGUGCAACGGAACACCAUGAUCGGAGCCAGGGCACCUGGAAAUGCAAUUUACCUUCCUGCCGCAGCAGUACCUAUUUAUCUACUUGCACUGGUGUGCUUUCGACCUGCUAGGUUGCCAGAAGCUGGAACCGAGCACCAGGAGCUCACCCUGUCACACGGAUUCGAACCGCCAACCUCCCGAUUAACAAGCCCAAGAGGCUCAGUGGUUUAGACCACAGCGUCACCCGUAUCCCCCUAACAGAACAUAACAUAAAAAGUCAUUAAACUGACUGGUGUGCCUGUAGGAAUGGAUGUGGAAGCCGUGUAGUGAAGGCUAAAGCUAACAUCCUGCCUAACCAACCGAUCUAGGACCAGGGAAUCAGUGACUUUAACUCUCACCUGAGCCAUGAACUGCCUAAGUGGCCUUAGGCAUGCGCCAUCACUUCUCUAUCUGCAAUAUACAGAAGGUAAUAAGAGUAGGCAUUACGAAGGGUGAGGUGGCCUAACUCCAAGGGACGAUGCGUUCCUGCCUAUGCAAAGAGGACACCUUCGAAAUGUGACUUUGAAUAUCCCAGCUUCCAUAAUGUUCCUUUCUCUCUAGUGAGGCUUGGUUUUGCUAAUGAAACCUUAUUCCUUUUCUCACCCCCUCCCAUCUCCCUCUCUCUCCCUCUCUUACAUUCACGCUGCCACCUUGCAAGGAAAUGUUCGUUUCCAAGCGUUUCGGGUUUUUUAUCACAAAUGUCAGCCUUGCCAACACUGCCAAUUAGAAACUGAAGGAACUUUCCUUUCCCUUUUGACAUUUUGAUUUUCCAUCUGAAAUCGGAAACAAUGUGGGAAUGACCUGCUCAAGUGGAACCAGCUGGCAAACCUGAGCCGGGUGCAAGGUACUUGCAUUAAUUUACAAGGCCCUUCACCAUUUGGAUCCAGGUGGCUCGAGGCCUGCCCAGUCCCUCCUAUUCUCAGAUGUCUUUGGGGGAAUCGCCGCUAGUGGUUCCUCCGUGAUUCAGUGCAUGGUUUGCAUCCACCAGGAUCUGUGCUUUCAGGAUUGGGUUCAUUUCUUUUCCAGUUGAGGUCAGACAGGCCUCCUCCUUGUUGACCUUCGGGAGGCUAAAAGGUAAAGGUAAAGGGACCCCUGACCAUUAGGUCCAGUCAUGGCCGACUCUGGGGUUGUGGCGCUCAUCUCGCUUUAUUGGCCGAGGGAGCCGGCGUACAGCUUCCGGGUCAUGUGGCCAGCAUGACUAAGCCACUUCUGGCAAACUAGAGCAGUGCAUGGAAAUGCCAUUUACCUUCCCACCAGAGCGGUACAUAUUUAUCUACUUGCACUUUGACGUGCUUUCGAACUGCUAGGUUGGCAGGAGCAGCGACUGAGCAACGGGAACUCACCCCAUCGCGGGGAUUCGAACUGCCAACCUUCUGAUCGCCAAGUCCUAGGCUCUGUGGUUUAAUCCACUACUGAAUACUUUUUUUUAAAAAAAAAAUCCAUUAGGAAUUUUAAUUGAAAUCUGAUUUUACCGUUCUGACUGAAUUCUGCCCUUAUUUGUGUUGUAUUUCUUCUACACCAUUUAGAGGCAAUGGUAGUUAAGUGGUAGAAAGAAAGAAAGAAAGAAAGGAAGGAAGGAAGGAAGGAAGGAAGGAAGGAAGGAAGGAAGGAAGGAAGAAGACUGUCACCUCAUACCACUAGAGGGAGAAACAUAAAGAGCAUCUAGAAAUCCAGUGCUAAAAUGGGUCCAUUGUGAUAUCACAGCCGUCUCCUGCUUUCAGCAUCUACUGCUGCUGCUUGUCAUUGUUUCUGUAGUUUACUGAGAUUUUUUCAUUAUCUAUAUCAGAGCUGGGCCCAUAUGCGACCCUCCAGACCUAGUUUUGUGGCCCUCAGGACUCUCUCCCAGAUCAAAUUAUCUACCCAGGUCACACCUUUCGCUGCUCCUGCUCUCACCUGUCUCAGGUGUUUUUUGCCUGGCUGCAAUGUGUCCUUCCACUGAGAUAAUGCCUCUUGCCUGCCUGGCUGGAGAAGGGAUGGAUACCUGUGUAAAGAAACCUUUUCACCUUUGCAUGACUGGAAUAUAUUCUCUACCACAAAAGCAAAAGCCACAUUUGCUGCUUUUCCAGCUUCUCCCCCCCCCCCCCCCAGGAGGGAAUAUGACCCUUAGGUUGAGAAAAAUUUUUCCCACCUUUAUCAAUAACAAUAAAUUAUGAGAGAAAUGGAAAAGAAGAGGCUGUUCCAAUUUUAGUUAUAACGUUUUUUUAAAAGGGUAUAUCAUCCUUUUGGGUAAAAUAAGUAAAAGUAAAAGAAGAAGAAGCUGUCAGGAAGAAAAGAAGUUUGCAAUAAUUAAAUUAUGCCCCUGUCAUAACAGUUUUGGAGCUCUGUAGAAUUAUUGAAAAUCCUGCCUUUCCUUUUUAUCGAGUUAAGUAGGAAGAUUGGGGAAAAAGCAGAAGAGGAUAAAUGUGGAGGAAGGGCAGGGAAAGAGGAGGUGAAGGGGCAAGGAGAUUGCUGAUGGAGAGCCUAUGCUUUGUCCGGGAAAAGUUCCAGGUUUAAUCAAAAGCAUCUCUCAAGCUAAAUGCACCAGGCGAUGGGAAAUAAUUUUCCCUCCUUAAAGUGACUUUGUUGUUGUUGUUGUUUAGUCAUUUAGUCGUGUCCUACUCUUUGUGAUCCCAUGGACCAGAGCACGCCAGGCACUCCUGUCUCCCACAGCCUCCCACAGUUUGGUCAAACUCGUGCUGGUAGCUUCGAGAACACUGUCCAACCAUCUCAUCCUCUGUCGUCCCCUUCUCCUUGUGCCCUCCAUCUUUCCCCACAUCAGGGUCUUUUCCAGGGAGUCUUCUCUUCUCAUGAGGUGGCCAAAGUAUUGGAGUCUCAGCUUCAGGAUUGGUCCUUUUAGUGAGCUCUCAGGGCUGAUUUCCUUAAGAAUGGAUAGGUUUGAUCUUCUUGCAGUCCGUGGGACUCUCAAGAGUCUCCUCUAGCACCAUAAUUGAAAAGCAUCAAUUCUUCGGCGAUCAGCCUUCUUUAUGGUCCAGCUCUCACUUUCAUACAUCACUACUGGGAAAACCAUAGCUUUAACUAUAUGGACUUUUGUUGGCAAGGCGAUGUCUCUGCUUUUUAAGAUGCUGUCUAGGUUUGUCAUUGCUUUUCUCCCAAGAAGCAGGCAUCCGAAGUGACUUUAGCAUGGUCUUUUCCAGUUGCAGCAUGGUAGGACCAGCCUUUCGCUCAUAAGAGCAUAAGGAGAGCCUGCUGGAUGAGGCCAAUGACCCAUCUAGUCCAGCACCCUGUUCUCACAGUGGCCAACCAGAUGCCUGUGUUGGAAACCCACAACCACAACCUAGGCAGAAGAGCACUCUCUUCUCCUGUGGCUUCCAGCAACUGGAACGUAGCCAUCAUGUCCAGCAGCCACUGAUAGACUGACCCUCCACGAAUUUGUCUAAUCCUCUUUUAAAGCCAUCACAGUUGUUGGCCAUCAGUACCUUUCCUGAGAGCAUCUCCCAUAAUUUAACUAUCCGCCAUGUGCAGAAGUACCUUCUUUUCUCUGUCCUGAAUCUUCCAACAUUCAGCUUCAUUGGAUGAUACCCAUUUCUAGUAUUAAGAGGAAGGGAGAAAACCUUCUCUCUAUCAACUUUCUCCACAUCACACACAAUUGUGCAUACCUCCAUCACGUCCAACCCCUUUAAUCACCUUUUCUUCCGAACUGACAUCCCCACCACGCAAAUGUAACUCUUCCUCAAGAGAGAUUUUCUCCCCCCAAAAAGUGCUUCCAGGUUGUAAAAUUAACUCUGCCAAUUCCUUUCCGUCCUGCACACCUCCUCCCGCAAUGAUGAGCAUUCAUCUAGUAUCUUUAUUAGUUCUCAAUUGUGUGUAUUAAAAUACGCAGAUGUCUUUACAGAUGCGUAGACUUUGCAGAUUGGUUUAAGUCAGCUGUGAUUUAGGGUGGUUCUUGAUACCAUAUUUGUGAUAGUAUUAGAAGUGUGUGUGAAAUAAAGAGCAGAGAUUUGAUCCAGACAGGAGCGUAGGAAGGGGGGGUGCUGGGGGUGUGGUCCGCCCCAGGCGUCAUCCCUGAGGGGGGGGGACAAAAUAGCACACUGCGGGGGGCAGCACUUUCUGCAGGGCCUGGCCUGCAGCGCACCCAAGCCACGCGUCUCUCCUGGGAGUGACUCAGUGGCUCAGGGCCCUGCGCUGCCCUAAAUGGCAGCGUGGGGCUUGCGUCUGCCAGGUGGACUCUGUGGGCAGCUCACCACACCGCCCCCCUGGGCAGAUCGCUGUGGCACCCCCGUGGGUGGUUCGCCCUGCGCCCACAGCUCCGGGUGCCAGAGCAGCUAGCUGCACCCCUCGAUCCAUAGCAAUGUGGUUAAAUCACCAGAUCACCUUUGAUGGGCUCUAUCAAGCAUGGGCUGAUAUAAUUGCUCAAGUGGGUAUCUCACUUGGAUUAGCAGCUGUCAUAUAUAUAAAUUUUACAAAAUCAGCCUGCAAAUAUAUGUAAAUCAAAUGCAUUAUCUCAUCAGAGUGAACAUCGCUAUCAAAAGACAAGUGACAAGUCUCACUGAAGCCCCCCUACUGAGUGCAUAUUCUGUCAUUCAGCAACUUGUUCAAAGUCCUGUAUUUUCCAUUUCCUUUGCAAACUUUUGAUGAUCUUCUCUCUCAGACUGGUUCCAACACCUUCUCAUUUCUUUAGUGAAAUUCUGUGGCUCCUUCGGCUCUCUUUCCACCUCCUAUUCAUCUCUGUAAAGCUUCCCACCUCAUGUCCUUCUUGCAAAACUGCCACCUGUAAGGGCAGCCUUUCCACACAGCCUAUUCAUUCAGGAAUAUUUAUCUCCAGCUCUGUCUCAUCUAUAGAUAGAUACACACACACACACACACACACACACACACACACACGGGGUAUGAAAAAUAAAUACAUUAUAAAACUGCUGCUGCUGUUGUUGUUAUAUCCUGCUGUCCCUCCCCAUGGGGACCAUGGUGGCAAAAACUGCCCCUCAGUGGUACUGUGUUGUAGCCUCGGUUGCAAUACUUGCACUUUUUAAAAAAAUCUGUUGCUAUCUUGUUAGAUCUCUCUGAGCAUCUAAAGCUUGGUUCCUCUUGAGCUGGAAGGGUCCACCUAUACUUGGAGAUAAGAACAACUUUCUUUGCACAAUCUUACCUAGUGGAGCAAGGGACGCGGGUGGCGCUGUGAGUUAAACCACAGAGCCUAGGUCGGCAGUUCGAAUCCCCGCGAUGGGGUGAGCUCCCGUUGCUCGGUCCCUGCUCCUGCCAACCUAGCAGUUCGAAAGCAUGUCAAAGUGCAAGUAGAUAAAAAGGUACCACUCUGGCGGGAAGGUAAAUGGCGUUUCCGUGCGCUGCUCUGGUUCGCCAGAAGCGGCUUAGUCAUGCUGGCCACAUGACCCGAAAGCUGUACGCCAGCUCCCUCAGCCAAUAAAACGAGAUGAGCGCCGCAACCCCAGAGUCGGCCACGACUGGACCUAAUGGUCAGGGGUCCCUUUACCUUUACCUUUUACCUAAUGGAGCAAGAGGGAGGGGCAACCAGAUUGGGCCCCAUGAUGUUUGACAGCAGUGAAACUGGCUUGGGAGCCAAUGGAUCCUGGACCAGCCCAGAACCACAACAGCUGGAACACACUGUUUUGGAGCCUUCUAUUAGAUAGUAAAGGCACUUUCUGACCUUGGAAGUAGCAGCAGGAGAGGCUGGUGCCCACUGAGACUGGUAUAAGGUGUUCCAGUAGGUGGAGAUAGAGCCAACAGCUGGUGGAGUCAACUAAUUUUGGGCUUUCCCCCAGCCUUCUCCCUGCCAAAUAACCUGCUGCACUGAAUAUAAGGAAGAAUGUAGGCUGCUGGGAUGAGGUUGAUGACAUAGUGCCACAUUCAUUCUAAUGGACCAGCUUUGACUGGUUGUUGUUGCAGAAAGAGGGUGAGACACCCUCUGGCCUAGGCAGCACAUGGCAACAGAUCCCUCUUAUGCCACUUUCCCAGUCCAUCGGAUGCUGACUAUGCAGGUAAAAAAGUGGGGCAUCCUCUCAAGGCAUGUCUCAUUGAUUAUGAAUGUACUAAGAGUUUCAGGGUAAUAGUUCCUGGCUCCAAAUAAAAAGUGAGUAUUAUGAGCAGCAGAAAUUCAUAGUAUAUGUAUCACUGGUUUUGUAGUCAUCAGCAACUUUAGUUUCAGCUCAACUCUGCAUAAUAGCAUUCCUAAUCUGCAGUUCAUCUAGAAAGACUUGUUAGAGUAACACAAUAACUGGGAAUCCCUGUGUGUGUGUGUGUGUGUGUGUGUGUGUGUGCUUAACGCUCUUUCGUGCACCAGGCCAAAAUUUCAGAGUUCUGUCACAGCUGAUCUAAAUUAACAACUAAAACAGGAAAGCUUUAUUGCCCAAAUAGUAUUUCUGUUCCCAGAAUGAUAAGGACAUUAUGACAGCUAUUGAUCUCCUAAGAUGGCAGUAGGCAUUGAAAGAUGGAUCUUCCCAUUUUCUUUUUGUCCUCACCCUAUUAUUAUCUGUAUUGGGAAUCUGUCGGGAUGGUUGACACUAAAUCCCGGGCUGCUGAUAAACAGAUAAACCCUGUAUAUAUGGGAAGUAAUGACUGAUCAAUGUAUAUUAAAUAGCUCUUAGGAGGGGGGAAUAUAAUACUUUCUCAGCUUCCCCCUGCAGCAAUAUUUAAUAGCCAAUCUUGCCGCCCAGUUGUUUCCUUGGGAAUCUCCACUGCUUUCCCGACCCUCAAUUAAUUACUUUCAUUUGGAUGAUGAGUAUAGUUUUUCUCAUGGGUGAGCUCUAAGUCAGAAGUGCCCCACUUGGAGAAGAGUAAUUGUCAAACAAUGUAACUUUGUAUACUUGUUGUUUCUAAUUAGAUUCUUCUCCCCCUCCCUUUCAUGCCAUACGCAUGUUGAAAGCACAUUUAGCAAAUCAGAAAUGUGCUUCAAGGGUAGCUGAUGUGUAAAUAAAUACCAAGGUGAAAGCAGAAGAUAUAAGGUUGUGUUCAAUGUAGCAAUAAGCAAAAGUUUCGGUGGAAUAUUCUUCCCCUCUCCUUCCUUUGAAUGCCUCCUAAAUCUCUUCUGGGAUUUGUCAUCCCAACCAUCUGGAGCAGAUUUGAGGAUGGUGCAGGAGGAAAAGGGGGAAUCCCAUUGCAUUCACAGUAAUCCUUACAUUAGCGCAACUAUUUACAGUGGUACCUUGGUUUUAGAACAGCUUAGUUUAUGAACAACUUGGAAACAGAACGCUGCAAACCCAGAAGUAGGUGUUCCAGUUUGUGAACUUUGCCUUGGAAGCAGAACAUCUUCCACUUCCUGUUGAGUGUGUUCUGUUUGUAAAUUGAGUCCCCCGCUGCUAAUUAGAGGCUUCCUGUUGAGUCUUGAGCACCCACGAAACACAGAGGUGAUAUUUGGAGCUUUUGUUUUUGCUAAUUUUUUUGCAUUUUUGUUUGUGUUGCUUUUUCCUUUUUUUUACUGUGACUUGUUCUUUGUUUUAUGGGACUGACUUGUGACGGUGGCUUGUGACUUCGUUUUUGUGACUGUGUGGAACCCAGUUCAGUUACUGAUUGAUUGAUUGAUUGAUUGAUUGUGUGACUGCAGUAAUGGAUAAAAGCCCCCCAUCCAAACAAUGACUAUCAUCAGUGCACGUAAGGAAAAAAUAAUAAUUUUAAUUUUUAUCAUCUACAAUACUGUCUUAUUUAUUUAUAGAACAGUACUUUGAUUAUUGCCUUCAUUUUAUGGAUCAAUGGUCUCAUUAGAUAGUAAAAUUCAUGUUAAAUUGCUGUUUUAAGGGUUGUUUUUAAAAGUCUGGAACAGAUUAAUCCAUUUUGCAUUACUUUCUAUGGGAAAGCAUGCCUUGGUUUUAGAACGCUUUGGUUUUGGAACAGACUUCCGGAAUUGAUUAAGUUUAGGAACCAAGGUACCACUGUAGUUGAAAACUGCCCCAUAGGCCACUUUAGAAUGUCACUAUUGUGUGAGAAUGAUUCAGUCGUAUAUCAGCAUAUUUAGGUCACACAAUUCAAGUGAAUUUGACACUCUUGUACAACAUGCUAGCUUCUAAAAAAACCACAACUCUCCUUCAUUGAAGGUUCUAAAACAGAGGUUGGAUGACCAUCUUUCAGGGAUUCUUUAGCGGUGAUUCCUAUAUUGCAUGGAGUUCACUAGGCGACCCUCUGGGUCCCUUUCAACUCUACAAUUCUAUAAAUCUAUGAAAACAAAAGCAAAACACCAGGUUUUUAUUUUUGCUGUAAGAAAAGUAACGGGGAAAUGUCCCGGAAUGCAUGGGAUAAUAUUGACAUUGAGCAAUGUCAUAUAACCUCUGUGCAAAUAAUAAAAAAGAAUGCUUAAUAUGCAGCCAUACAAAUAAACUCCAUACAAAUAUGAGGCAAAUAAUCUGGACAAGUGCUCAAUAAGCAGGUUGUCUGGGAGAGCCUAUAAUCUAGUUUACCAGUGUAAAUGAUCAGUUAAUCAGCAACAAAACUCUCUUCGUGUAGGAGUGGAAUCAAUCAAUCAAAAUGUCUUUACCGCACAGCGAGAAAAUUGCCUAACAAUAUAUCAAAAAUUCCCAGACAAAUCCGCAAGAAUAUGGCCCACCACUAAAUCAAAAACAUAUUAACAUGAUCAAUGCUAUAGAAGUUAGAAUUCCUUACAUCGGCAUGAAACGGGAAAGGAAAACAUCUUUCAGUCUUAUCCUUUUCCAAACUCGCAGAAACACAGCUGCACAAUUUUCCUCGUCAGCUAGCAAAAGAAUGAAGUCAACAUUCUGCAAAUGCUAACCACUUUGGGCUCUUUUUAGUUUGUAAGAAAGAAAGAUGGAAAUGGUACCCAAUAGAGGACCAACUUUUUUUUCAUGAAAAGGAGGUGAUUGGACAAGGUAAAUGAAGAAGACCACUCAAUAAUCUUUGUAAUAAUAGUGCUUUGGGAAAAUGUUAAAAUUUUCAUCUCUCUCUCUCUCUCUCUCUCUCUCUUUCUCUCAAAUUAAUUCCAUGAAGGAACGAUUUCGAUGCAUGCUCCUUCAAAUCUCCUUCAGAGGAUGAAUAAUGAUGCUUGAAUUUAUUUUUGCUAAUAGAGAAGAAAAUGCUAAUCUGCUCCCCCCUCUUAAUAAAUUAAUUGCAGGGGUUUUUUUCCCCCAAUCCCUGUUGUAUACUUGCAAAGUAAUCCUGUUAUUAGAAUCUAUUUAUAUUUUCCAGCUUUAGGUUGCAUGGAUUUCUUGCCUGCUGACAAAGCUACUCUCUUUCUUUUAUUGCAUUUUGAUGGGUUUUCUUUUCCUGAACCUGAUCUCUAUCUCUUGAUAUAAUGGCAACCACUCUGUCCCUCUCCUUUUUUUGCAGAUGCCAAAUGGCUUCUCUCCCCCCCUCCCCGGAUAAAAUGAAAAGGUAUUAAUCACAUUUACAGGUCUGACGUCAGUCGUUGGUAUGGCUGGGUAUCAGCCAGGAGCAGUGAGUGCGCUCUGAAGGGUUCACUCCAUAGCAGGAUGCAUUGUGGUUGUGGGAAUGUUCAGGGAGGCAGAAGAGGAUAUAUUGUUUGAUGAUAUCCUUCCUAACUUGUGUUAGCAAGUUCUACAACUUAGCAGAGUUAAACAUUCCCUUUUAAAUUCACAGUGGUUUGAUUGUUGCAGGCUCAUCUGAGCCUCUCUCUAUAAGAUUCCUGAUAAGAUCCCUUCUUGUCCCUCUUAAAAAGAAUACACGACAAUAUUUUUAAUGUCUAUAUAAAAGUAAUUUACUCACAUUCAUUCAGUUCACAGUUGGAUCCCUGAAGGCAGACUUAGGUUACAAAAAAUUACAUGUACAUGUGGAAUAAUCCCUUAAGGGAGUUAGGCCCAAGUGACUGCCGACACGUAGAAAAACAAAAUGGAGAAGAGAGGAGCAAAAGAAGAAUGUGUGCUCCUCUACCCAAAUUAGGCCACACCCACAGGAAGUUUUCUCCUAGCUGGUACAAAGCAUCUCCUAGCUUGUCCAUUCUAGGAAUGUUGUUCUUGACUGCUAUGUGUUUCACAUCCCACAGUGGGUUGGCAUCACUCACCCAAUCUCUGAUUGGUCCCUUUCUUGCCUCUUACCAGGAGGUAUAGGGGGAGGGGUAAAACAGUGGGGAGGUUUUUUAUAUUGGGAAUAAUCCAGACAGAAAUACCCAGGUGUCAGAAAAGUUUAUUUAUGUAUGCAACAACGGCAGCACGAAUAUUGCUAGCCCAAAAAUGGAAGGUGAGUGAGGUCCCAGCUAAAGAGGACAGGCAAUUUAAGAUGUUAGAAUAUGCAGAACUUGCAGGUUUAACACACAGAUUAAGAGAACAAGAAGAACAUUUAUUUAAAGAGUAGGAAAUAUUUACUGAAUAUAUGGAAAAUAUUUGUACACAGCUGAAAAAGCUGGCAGCAUUAAGUUAAAUUCAACAGUGUAAAUAAUGUUUAAAUGAUGUAAAAUGGAGAACGGACUUAAAUGGUUAGAGCAAAAUAUGCAGGAUAAUAAUAAUAAUAAUUUUUAAUUUAUAUCCCACCCAGCUGGCUGGGUUUCCCUAGCCACUCUGGGCAGCCUACAACAUAUAAAACACAACAAAGCAUCAAACAUUAAAAAACAAGAUAUCCUAUACAAGCAACAUAUAAACCAAUAAAUCAGUGAAAACCUGUAACAACAACAAUAAUAAACAGUUUACAGUUAUACCCAAAUUAAAGUAACUGCCAACCCCAAUGGGAGAUAUAUAAAAUGAACCAUGGAAAGAGAAGAAGAACAGAAGUCAUUGGAUAUUUAAAAGUAUGUAAAAUGUUCAUUUUUGAAAUGUAAAAUUGAAAACUUAAUAAAAAUUAUUUUUUAAAAAGACAGUGGAGAGGUUGGCACAUUCCAGAUGCACCAGCAAUGUCAGAUCACCUCCACUGGUGCAUUUGAAACCAUGUCCCCACCUCUCUUCUAGCUUCCUAGGAGGUGGAAAUAGACAUAGCUCUGAGCUACUGUGAGAAUCUUAAGAAUAGGCUUAAUGAAUAAUGCACACUGUUGAUCAGCUGCUCCAGUCAUCAAUAUCAUCACCCUAAAGCAGGUAUCCCCAAACUCGGCCCUCCAGAUGUUUUGGGACUACAACUCCUAUCAUCCCUAGCUAACAUGACCAGUGGUCAGGGAUGAUGGGAACUGUAGUCUCAAAACAUCUGGAGGGCCGAGUUUGCCUAUGCCUGCCCUAAAGUAAGGCACCACCAUCCCAAACAAACUUUUGGGAAAUGUCAUCCUUUCCCUCUGUGAAUGGCAGCAAUCCUGCAGAAAUGCAGAGUGAUUGGGGGGGGGCACUAUUUUCAAGCUGAUAUUGCUGCAAGAAUGCCACAGUUGCAUGGUGGGCUCACUUUCUUCCAUCCUUAUGGAUUCCCCAGGGAGUGAGCCUAGUAUUAGAAUUGCAGGCAGGCAGGUGGGGCUUCUUGACUGAAUAAGCCAUUGUGUUCAGUGGUGGGGACAGAUUAUUGCCACUAGGGACAGAACGAGCAGCAUAAUUCCAUCCUGUUUCAGCUUUGCCGGCUCACAGUCAUGGGUUUGUUCCAUCCCGUUUCAUGCAUCUACUUUAAAAGAAUGCACAAAAAGACCGCAUUUAAAUUGCAUGCAUUUUGUAGAGACAUUUUACACGUGGUCUGCAGUUUUAUUGCCUUUCAUCUUAAAGUGCAUUUCAUCUUAAAAUAUACAUUUGUGUGUGCAGAAUAUGUACAGUGGUACCUCGGGUUACAGAUGCUUCUGGUUACAUACGCUUCAGGUUACAGACUCCGCUAAAACAGAAAUAGUACCUUGGGUUAAGAACUUUGCUUCAGGAUGAGAACAAAAAUCGUGCUCUGGCAGCAGGAGGCCCCAUUAGCUAAAGUGGUGCUUCAGGUUAAGAACAGUUUCAGGUUAAGAACGGACCUCCGGAACGAAUUAAGUGCUUAACCCGAGGUACCACUGUAAUUUUGUGUGCACUUUUUGCAUCCUGAAACAGUAUUACAAAAUCCAGGAAAAAAAUGGACGUUUUAGUUAAGAAUGGCAUUCUGAUCCACAAGACACUUCUAAAGUGUUGGAUGGGGCUGGUCCACCGCAAUAAGGAGACCAAACGAAUUAUUCCUCCAUUCCUAGCAAUGACUGUUUGGAGAGAAAUAAUAGGAAACUGCCAUAAACCACUGUCAUUCUAGCGCAACAUUGCUGGCACUGCCUAGAAGCAGUUCUCCAGGGUUUCAGGUAGGAAAUCUCCCCCAAACCUACCUGGGGUUCCUUUUUUCUAUUUAAACGAUCUUUAUUGAAUUAAAAUACAAACAUAUAUACAUACAUAAACAUAAAAAAGAAAAGAUUAAGACAAGAAAAGAAAGAGGAAAAACACACACAUACAAAAAAAGAAUUUGCAUUAUUAUACAAUCGUUCAUUGAAUUUAUAAAUAAAAGACUUCCAGUUCUUCUCUUUGUACUUGUAUUGUUAUUUACGUUUAACGCACAGCCUUCUAUUACCCUAAAUUGUUUUCGUGUACUCUAACAAAUUAACAUUUGCACAUUGCAUUUUACAAGGAUCAGUUUAAUUCCACAAGGAGAUUGUUAUUUGGACAAUACCUGGGGUUUCGAACAAAAUGAUCAAGAAGAAGAAGAAGAGAUUGGAUUUGAUAUCCCGCUUUAUCACUACCCAAAGGAGUCUCAAAGUGGCUAACAUUCUCCUUUCCCUUCCUCCCCCACAACAAACACUCUGUGAGGUGAGUGGGGCUGAGAGACUUCAAAGAAGUGUGACUACCCCAAGGUCACCCAGCAGCUGCAUGUGGAGGAGCGGAGAUGCGAAUCUGGUUCACCAGAUUAUGAAUCUACCACACUUAACCACUACACUACACUGGCUCUGGAUCAAGGGGAAAGAGCUCUCUUCCAUCAAGGGGAUGGAACUCCCCUGUGGGGCAAGGUUGCAGCAUUUGAGCCUCCUUAGUUUAGAGCUGGACCAUAAAGAAGGCUGAUCGCCGAAGAAUUGAUGCUUUUGAAUUAUGGUGCUGAAGGAGACUCUUGAGAGUCCCAUGGACUACAAGAAGGUCAAACCUCUCCAUUCUGAAGGAAAUCAGCCCUGAGUGCUCACUGGAAGGACAGAUCCUGAAGCUGAGACUCCAGUACUUUGGCACCUCAUGAGAUGAGAAGACUCCCUGGAAAAGACCCUGAUGUUGGGAAAGAUGGAGGGCACAAGGAGAAGGGGACGACAGAGGACGAGAUGGUUGGAUAGUGUUCUCGAAGCUACCAGCAUGAGUUUGACCAAACUGUGGGAGGCAGUGGAAGACAGGAGUGCCUGGCGUGCUCUGGUCCAUGGGGUCACGAAGAGUCGGACACGAGUAAACAACAACAACAAGUUUAGAGACAAGGUGAGUAAUAGGAGACUAUAAUGGCAUGGUAGAAGUUUAUGAAAUUAUGUAUGGGGUGAAGGAAGUGGACUUUCUCCUUCUCUUGCAAUACUAGAACUCAUGGACCUCCAGUGAAGCUGAAUGUUGGAAGAGUCAGGACAGAUAAAAGAAAAUACUUCUUCAUGCAGUGCAUAUUUAAACUAUGGAACUCUCUCCCACAGGAGGCAUUGAUGGCCACCAACCUAGAUGACUUUAAAACAGAGUAGACAAAUUCAAGGAGAACAAAGAUACUAACCGUGAUGGCUCUAAUCUGCUUCCAGCAAUGCUUCUGAAUGCCAGUUGCUGGGAAUCACAGACUGCUCUUGUGAUUGGAUCCUGCUUGCAGGUUUCCCAUAGUCAUCUGGAUGGACACUGUGAGAACAGGAUGCUGGACUACAUGGGCCAUUGGCCUGAUCCAGCAGGUUCUUCCCAUCUUCUUAUGUUUUUAUCAGUGGAGGCUGGACCAUUAGUGUCAGGAAUGAGCCAGCUCCCAGCAAAGGUUUGCAGCCAACUGCAGAAAGCAGCCAGGAACAGAGAGGCUUAGAUGUUAGUCAGGCAGGGGAGAGCCGGCAGCUGCAGACUUCGGCUCUUCCUGACCUUGACGGGCUGGCUGAGAAGGCAGUAGCUGAGAGCAGGCUGGAACACAGCCAAAGUUUGCAGGAAGAACAAAGAGGCAUGAACAGCCUCUCAGAACAGGAAGAGGUUGGAGUUGAUCCACUCAGUCCAAAGAGUCGGUGAAUGGGAGGGCUGUUAGAGAAGAAGCAAAACAAGAGAUGUAAGGGUUGUAAGUUCAAUAUCUUCUGUCAUUGCCGGAAGCAGUCUUCAGAAGGGUCAUCUUGAAUAAUGAUGCUGGAGGCUUGAUUGAAGCUGUCCGGAGCUAUCUGUUUGUUUUUGCAAUCAAUCCUCCUUUUUAAUUACCUACGCUUACUGUGUUAUCAAGUGGGGAAUCUGGACUCCUGACAAUUAGGUCCUCAGCCAGCCCCAACACCUACCUUUUUCUUUAGAACCAGUCCAAUAGGUGGCACUGGCUGUCAGCUUUAUCCUUCUUAGCGUCAGUGUUGACUUUCUAGGACUCAGCUGGGAUGAGGAUGGGGACAAAACCAGAAUUAGUUGGCUCUGCCUAUUCUUGAAUGUGGUUGCACCUGACAUUGGCUCUAGCUCUGCCUAUUAUUGACCUUCUGGCAUAUGUCCCACAAGUCUCAACGGGCACCAGCCACCUCUUGGAACAAGCCUGGGACUUCUCGCAAACAAAACAUCUGCUUUAUGAGACCAUCACACAGGCCUCCUUUACAGUGUGGUUGUAAGCAUUCCUGAGCUAUGGCUUGUUAAAAAAAGAAAACCUUUAAAAAGCCCUGUGAAAUUAAGUAUUAAUUAAGUAUAAAUGCAACGAAGUGUGAGUGUGAUUCCAUUUCUCUCUCCUGCCUCUAAGAGCUGCUCAGCUAAGUCACAAUUUGAAUACCAACAAAGUGGUCCCUCCUGACAGCCUGAGAAUUUGACAAGUUGGCAUAAAGUGCCUUCGCUGAAUUGUUGGUCUUGUCAUGUUAUUUCUCCCCAUAAUGGGUAUGACUCGAGUUGAUAGUGACUCGAAUGCCUAAAAAUAGAUGAACGGAAAAUAGGCCUUUUUCGAAUCCAUAGCCAGGAGGAGCUGGCGUUUCUUAUCACCUUGGCUCUCUAUGCCAUUACAUGGUGUAAUGUGAUAGCUUAAAAUAACUAAGUGCCAGUUUGGUGCCAAAAAUAUGAAGUGUCACUCAGUAUUACAGGAUCUAUUUCAGCAGGAAAAAGCUGGUAUCACUUUCUCAGAGUAGCUUGCCUAGCAGAAAUAAUUUGAAGGGUUGCCCCAGAUUGAAUGCUUGCAAGGGACGAAAGCUCCUCCAACAAUUACUAUUCUAAACGUGGAAUGAGAUAAGCAAUUGGGCCGUAGUAUCUCCCCUUCUGCACUGGGAUUAGUGUACAGAAGAUGCUCUGCCCUGGUUUCCAUUGAUUCUGGGCUUUAUGCAAGGUUCACAGGAUGUGCAUUUGUGACAUUAUGCUGACAACAGACCCUUCUUUGUGUUUUUGCAAGAAUUGUGUGUUUCCCUCCCCGGCGAUGCAGCCUGAUCUCCUGCAAGAACACGCU